UUCCCUAGUCAAGGUGGAGCAGUUACCACUUCUAAGGAGUCCCGUAAAUUCUAGGCCUAUAAACCUCUCUAUAAAUACAUCAUCCCAAGAAUAAGGAGGAACAAAUCAUAACAUACACACGAAUACAUAGCAUCUCACUUCACGUGAGUUUGCUCUCUCCAUAGCUAAAACACCGCCAAACAGAAUUACUCACCAUCAUGAGCAAGCUUUAAAACACUGAAAAUCAUUAUGACCUCUAGCCAUCCCUACCAAGAAGUAGGAGUGUCAUGUAUUUUUUGACAAAUACAUAAGUUUGAUUUCACGAAACUCAUUUAGCGAGAUUAAAGUUUGAUUUCACGAAACCCAUUUUCACGGAACUCUGCCAAAGUUUGAUUUCUUCGCUCGCUCAGUCGCGCAGAAGUUUGUAAAACCCCUCGCCGCCACCAUCGCCUUGUUCUUCGUUUCUUCCCUUUAAUCGCCGUUUUUGGAUUCAAAGUGAAGCUGGAGUGGAAUGAUUACUUCUAGUGUUACCGAGCUCCACAGUCACAACAAAGGAUUGUUGAAAUUUUCUAUAAUUUUCCCGCGUGGAUUGUUGAAAUUGACGCUGGAUCGUUUUUAUUCUAGUUGAAGUUUGCAUAAAUUGUUCUAGAUUCACUGCGUUAGUUUACUCUAUGCACUUCAGUUCAGACAUUAUCUGCUUGAAUUAUAGAAUUCGAUAUUAAUUCGUCUAACUGAUUCAGAGGAAACAGAAAAUUGUAGAAAGAAGUGAAAUGAA